UACAGAGACUGCGAGCGUUAUUCGGAUUCACUGGGCGUAAAGGGUGCGCAGGCGGCCAGGUGUGUGGGGCGUGAAAGCCCGGGGCUCAACCCCGGAAUUGCACCUCAAACGUACAUGGCUAGAGUACUGGAGAGGGAGACGGAAGUUCACGGUGUAGCAGUGAAAUGCGUAGAUAUCGUGAGGAACACCAGAGGCGAAGGCGGUCUCCUGGACAGUUACUGACGCUCAGGCACGAAAGCGUGGGGAGCAAACAGG
rnacentral:rRNA from 1 species